GUUUUUAAUUGAUUGUCUCAAUGUUUGUCAACCUUAAUCGUGUGUCGAGUCUCCUUUCCCGAAGAAAAGGAGAUCGUGUGUAAAGAUUUGUUAAUGAUCCUUCCGCAGGUUCACCUACGGAAA
rnacentral:misc_RNA from 1 species